UGAUUGAGAGGGGCUGCUCCUAGUACGAGAGGACCGGAGUGGACGAACCUCUGGUGUUCGGGUUGUGUCGCCAGACGCAUUGCCCGGUAGCUAAGUUCGGAAUCGAUAACCGCUGAAAGCAUCUAAGCGGGAAGCGAGCCUCGAGAUGAGUCAUCCCUGAACCUAUAAGGUUCCUAAAGGGUUGUUGAAGACUACGACGUAGAUAGGCAGGGUGUGUAAGCGCUGUGAGGCGUUGAGCUAACCUGUACUAAUUGCCCGUGAGGCUUAACCAU
rnacentral:rRNA from 1 species